rnacentral:rRNA from 1 species
GACGAACGCUGGCGGCGUGCUUAACACAUGCAAGUCGAACGGAAAGGCCCUGCUUUUGUGGGGUGCUCGAGUGGCGAACGGGUGAGUAAUACGUGAGUAACCUGCCCUUGACUUUGGGAUAACUUCAGGAAACUGGGGCUAAUACCGGAUAGGAGCUCCUGCUGCAUGGUGGGGGUUGGAAAGUUUCGGCGGUUGGGGAUGGACUCGCGGCUUAUCAGCUUGUUGGUGGGGUAGUGGCUUACCAAGGCUUUGACGGGUAGCCGGCCUGAGAGGGUGACCGGCCACAUUGGGACUGAGAUACGGCCCAGACUCCUACGGGAGGCAGCAGUGGGGAAUAUUGCACAAUGGGCGGAAGCCUGAUGCAGCAACGCCGCGUGCGGGAUGACGGCCUUCGGGUUGUAAACCGCUUUCGCCUGUGACGAAGCGUGAGUGACGGUAAUGGGUAAAGAAGCACCGGCUAACUACAUG